rnacentral:rRNA from 1 species
AACGAACGCUGGCGGCAGGCUUAACACAUGCAAGUCGAACGCCCCGCAAGGGGAGUGGCAGACGGGUGAGUAACGCGUGGGAACAUACCCUUUUCUACGGAAUAGCUCUGGGAAACUGGAAUUAAUACCGUAUACGCCCUACGGGGGAAAGAUUUAUCGGGGAAGGAUUGGCCCGCGUUGGAUUAGCUAGUUGGUGGGGUAAAGGCCUACCAAGGCGACGAUCCAUAGCUGGUCUGAGAGGAUGAUCAGCCACAUUGGGACUGAGACACGGCCCAAACUCCUACGGGAGGCAGCAGUGGGGAAUAUUGGACAAUGGGCGAAAGCCUGAUCCAGCCAUGCCGCGUGAGUGAUGGAGGCCUUCGGGUUGUAAAGCUCUUUUGGCGGGGACGAUAAUGACGGUACCCGCAGAAUAAGCCCCGGCUAACUUCGUGCCAGCCGCCGCCGUAAGAC